rnacentral:misc_RNA from 1 species
UACCUACACCUCUACUGGAGUUGUGAGUUUUUCUUUUUUAUAGAAAUUUUGAUUUUACUGGCAUUUAAAUAUCGGCUUCGUUGGCAGAUUAAUUUGUAAGAGUUUGGUUUUUUACUUUUCGGGAUUUAUUCUUUGUUUGGUUGCUAAGAAAAGGAAUGAAAAUGAAAGAAAACUAUACUUUGCUCUCGUGUUUUAUUUAAUAAACAAGAAUAGCUUAUGCGC